ACCAACUAUUUGGAUCACAGCGCCCAUAUAGAGCGACCGACAUGUUCCUGAACUCUAGAAUCGGCUGCGACAAAAAAAAGCCACCCCCACGAGGCAAACAGCUCAACCUAGAACCAACCACUCCCCCGAUCCCCAUCUUCCCUGGAUCCAAUCGCCGCCGGACCUCCGCCUAAGGCGGGACGCCGCCACCGCAUCGCCCACCAGUCCCCUACCACUUCCGCCAUCGCCCACCACCGCAGGCACCGCCCCGACCACCUCCGCCGCUGCCCUCCAUCUCGACCACCCCUGCUACGCGCGUAGCCGAUUCAGCCCAUCGACGGCCUUCCUCCCCUGCUUCCACUGUGGCAGUGGCCUCCUUCUGCCCUCAACCGCUGCAGUCGCAACCUGCUCCAGGGUGCCGCCACCGCCGCGACCAGCCCCAAGACGUCGCCGCCAGAGCGACCUGCCCUAGGGCUCCGCCUCCACGACGAUCUACGUGAUGUUGCUUCGACGCCCGGAGUUGCCCCGCCUCAGGCCGACAUCCCACGCGCGCAGCCACUGGCUAGUGCCAUGGUCGCGCGCCGCUGGCAUCCUCCGUCACACUCGGCACCUCCUGUGCGUUGGAGUGAAGGUCGACUCCUAUGCACUCUGCAGUUCAAUUUCUACUGAUCCGAUAGCUCCUAAAUCCUUCACGCACUUGUAUCCAAAGGUUCCUGCGUGUGUGUUUUGUCCUGCAGAGCAUUUUCUUCAGGACAGUGGAGAGCACCCUCACCCUGAUCCAAUCUGCAGCAGCGCUCGAGUCCUCCCAAAGAAGCGCUGAGCCAUUCAAGCACGUAGCCCCGGCCGUUCAACGACGAAGCUACCGACCGUUCGUGAACACAACACCCCGGAUCCUGUUGCCCACCAUCAAGUUCAACUUCUGUUGAAUCCUGUAAAGGGAGACUUAUUGUGUUGAUCAUGGUGCUUGUCGCCAUUCACGAGGAAAGAUAGUCGGUCUUUGAACGGGUGAGUGACCUUGCUGUUGCUGGGAUGCUAUUCAACAUGGGGAAUUGCUAUCCCUUGAGGUGCAGUGUAGCGAGAUAUAUGCUGCUGCCACUUUUGGAUUUAUUGUUGAGAUGGUCGCUCAAGCUCAAUAUUGAUUAGUCCUUCCCUAGAUCUUUCCCUACAUGCUUUGUAGGUCAUCAGUAAGAACAAAAAGUAUGCCUCUAAGUUGUCUGUGUUUAUUCCACAAAAGAAAUUAGUAGGACUGCACACGGUCGACUAUUCUUGACCAGUUUCUAUAGUAAUUUGUAUGGCUGACAAUUUUCAGCAGUAAUUAACAUGGCUGCAGUCAACUGUGUCUGAUUUCCA